ACACGGUGACACAGGAUUUUUGGGGCCCUCUGGGUGGUAACUUCAAUUGUACGGAAUAAACCUUUCCACGUGUGGAAAGCUGAAGGUACUGUACGAAUAAGCACCGGCUAACUCCGUGCCAGCAGCCGCGGUAAUACGGAGGGUGCAAGCGUUAUCCGGAUUUAUUGGGUUUAAAGGGUCCGUAGGCGGACUCGUAAGUCAGUGGUGAAAUCUCACAGCUUAACUGUGAAACUGCCAUUGAUACUGCGGGUCUUGAGUAUAGUUGAAGUAGCUGGAAUAAGUAGUGUAGCGGUGAAAUGCAUAAAUAUUACUUAGAACACCAAUUGCGAAGGCAGGUUACUAAACUAUAACUGACGCUGAUGGACGAAAGCGUGGGGAGCGAACAGGAUUAAAUACCCUGGUAGUCCACGCCGUAAACGAUGCUAACUCGUUUUUGGGCUUUCGGGUUCAGAGACUAAGCGAAAGUGAUAAGUUAGCCACCUGGGGAGUACGUUCGCAAGAAUGAAACUCAAAUGAAA
rnacentral:rRNA from 1 species